GCUACGGCCAUACCAGCCUGGGUACGCCCGAUCUUGUCUGAUCUCGGAAGCUAAGCAGGGUCGGGCCUGGUUAGUACUUGGAUGGGAGACCGCCUGGGAAUACCAGGUGCUGUAAGCA
rnacentral:rRNA from 1 species